UGGGGAAUAUUGCACAAUGGGCGCAAACCUGAUGCAGCCAUGCCGCGUGUAUGAAGAAGGCCUUCGGGUUGUAAAGUACUUUCAGCGGGGAGGAAGGCGAUAAGGUUAAUAACCUUGUCGAUUGACGUUACCCGCAGAAGAAGCACCGGCUAACUCCGUGCCAGCAGCCGCGGUAAUACGGAGGGUGCAAGCGUUAAUCGGAAUUACUGGGCGUAAAGCGCACGCAGGCGGUCUGUCAAGUCGGAUGUGAAAUCCCCGGGCUCAACCUGGGAACUGCAUUCGAAACUGGCAGGCUAGAGUCUUGUAGAGGGGGGUAGAAUUCCAGGUGUAGCGGUGAAAUGCGUAGAGAUCUGGAGGAAUACCGGUGGCGAAGGCGGCCCCCUGGACAAAGACUGACGCUCAGGUGCGAAAGCGUGGGGAGCAAACA
rnacentral:rRNA from 1 species